rnacentral:rRNA from 1 species
UACGAAGGGGGCUAGCGUUGCUCGGAAUCACUGGGCGUAAAGCGCACGUAGGCGGCUUUCUAAGUCAGGGGUGAAAUCCUGGAGCUCAACUCCAGAACUGCCUUUGAUACUGGGAAGCUUGAGUCCGGAAGAGGUGAGUGGAACUGCGAGUGUAGAGGUGAAAUUCGUAGAUAUUCGGAAGAACACCAGUGGCGAAGGCGACUCACUGGACAUGUAUUGACGCUGAGGUGCGAAAGCGUGGGGAGCAAACAGG